UACGGAGGGUGCAAGCGUUAUCCGGAUUCACUGGGUUUAAAGGGUGCGUAGGUGGGUUGGUAAGUCAGUGGUGAAAUCUCCAGGCUUAACUUGGAAACUGCCAUUGAUACUAUCAAUCUUGAAUACCGUGGAGGUCAGCGGAAUAUGUCAUGUAGCGGUGAAAUGCUUAGAGAUGACAUAGAACACCAAUUGCGAAGGCAGCUGGCUACACGAAUAUUGACACUGAUGCACGAAAGCGUGGGGAGCGAACAGG
rnacentral:rRNA from 1 species